AGUGAACGCUGGCAGUAGGCCUAACACAUGCAAGUCGAACGGCAGCACAGUAAGAGCUUGCUCUUACGGGUGGCGAGUGGCGGACGGGUGAUGAAUACAUCGGAAUCUACUUUUUCGUGGGGGAUAACGUAGGGAAACUUACGCUAAUCCCGCAUACGACCUACGGGUGAAAGCAGGGGAUCUUCGGACCUUGCGCGAUUGAAUGAGCCGAUGUCGGAUUAGCUAGUUGGCGGGGUAAAGGCCCACCAAGGCGACGAUCCGUAGCUGGUCUGAGAGGAUGAUCAGCCACACUGGAACGGAGACACGGUCCAGACUCCUACGGGAGGCAGCAGUGGGGAAUAGUGGACAAUGGGCGCAAGCCUGAUCCAGCCAUACCGCGUGGGUGAAGAAGGCCUUCGGGUUGUAAAGCCCUUUUGUUGGGAAAGAAAAGCAGCAGGUUAAUACCCCGCUGUUCUGACGGUACCCAAAGAAUAAGCACCGGCUAACUUCGUG
rnacentral:rRNA from 1 species